UACGAUUAAUUUAAUAUUCUCGACUGGAGUUGUCCUGCAGUCGUCUGGAGUUCUCGCCCUCCCCAGCCUCGGCGGUGCUUGGGAGCGUCGGGGAGCCCAAGGCCUCCCUGGCGAGCGCCGCAGGGCUGAGGGGUUCCGGCAGGGCGUCUCGGCUCCCUCGGGGCGUCCAUGGCGGUGCCGGAGAUCCUGAGUGUCCAGGGGCGUGGGGAGGGGAGUGCUUUUGGUGCUGUGUGUUGAUAUGGGCGUGUCUUUUCUGGGGUGAAGGAGACUCAUUCGUGUCAGCAGACAGCACCAAGGAAGGGUGAUUUCUGAACAACUCCACCAAAGGGAUAUUACAGGUGAAAAACACCGAAAAUAAGGAGAAUAAACUAAAGAAACAUCAGAAAUAAGAAUUCCAGGAAAUAGAUAUGACGGUAACACGCCAUGAGAAAAAGGAAAAAAAUAUAACGAAAACACGUGCAAAAAUCCAGCAUGAAGGCCCUUGGUGCCGUGUAUUGGUGCGGGAGAGCCUUCUCUGGGGUGAAGGAGACUCGGCUGUAGCAAGAUACGGCACCAGGAGGAGGCGAUGUAGAUACUCUACACAACACUGUCACACGACACAUGAAGAAAAACAACACCGGAGACAGGAUAAUGCAGAAAAGGAAUAGGGCUACCAGGAAAAAAAAUCAGAUACAAAACACAACAUUAGCAAAAUAACAACUAGAAUUUAGGACUUUGGUGUGGUAUGCUGGUACGGGUAAGCCUUCUCUGGGGUGAAGGAGACUCAGCUGUAGCAGGAUACCGCAUUAAGGAAAGGCGAUGUAGAUACCCUACACCACACUGUCACGCGGGAAAUAAAGAAAAAUAACACCGGAGACGGAAUAAUGCAGAAGAAAAGGAAAAGGAUCACACAGAAACACAACAUCAAUAAAGGGAAAAAAACAACAACAACAACGACAACAACAAAGUAUAUAAAUUACAAUGUAGCACCCAGGCGUCUGGUGUGGCGUUUUGGCACGGGCGAGGCUUCUCUGGGGUGAAGGGGAUUUAAGUUUACGGAGUAAAAAAGGAUUUAAGUUUACGGAGCAAAAAAGGAUUUAAGUUUACGGAGUAAAAAAGGAUUUAAGGAACGAAAGAGGAUUUAAGUUUGCGGAGCAAAAAAGGAUUUAAGUUUACGGAGCAAAAAAGGAUUUAAGUUUACGGAGCAAAAAAGGAUUUAAGGAACGAAAGAGGAUUUAAGUUUACGGAGCAAAAAAGGAUUUAAGUUUACGGAGCAAAAAAGGAUUUAAGUUUACGGAGCAAAAAAGGAUUUAAGGAACGAAAGAGGAUUUAAGUUUACGGAGCAAAACAGGAUUUAAGUUUACGGAGCAAAAAAGGAUUUAAGGAACGAAAGAGGAUUUAAGUUUAUGGAACAAAGAAGGGAUUUAAGUUUAAGGAACAGAAAAGGAUGUAAGUUUAAGGAACAAAAUAAAGGAUUUAAGUUUCAGGAACAAAGAAAGGAUUUAAGUUUACGGAGCAAAAAAGGAUUUAAAGAACAAAAAAGGAAUCAACUUUUAUGAGCAAGGAAAGGACAAGUUUUUGCGUUGCGUUAAUUUUAUCGGCGGAGGAAUCUUGUCUCCGGAAUCCGUGAACGAACUUUUGAGCUUUGCGUGUCGGCUCAACGCGUGUGUGAUCGAUGCUGUGUUGUUUUUGUCGCCAGAGGAAGUGAACAAUAUUUCCUUCACCAUCCUUCCGCUUGUCUGUCAGUUUGUCUUUUAACAAAUUAUCUCAUAAAUAGAUUCACAUCCAGAAUUAUUACAGGCCGUCCAAACGAAGUCUCCCUCUGAUCCUGGGCUGCGUUUGUCAGGCCUCUUCUGACUGGCGGCCUCCUCUCUGUGCAUCACACGUGCCCUCGUGCUGCGUGUUGCUGUUUUAUAUGUCUAACCCGGCGGCCGGAAAAUGGGUGCCAAGGGAAACCCGAGGAAGGUAAACUGUGCUGACCGGAUGUCACCCUGGCUCGUUUGACUUACCCCAGCCCAGCCUGCCUUGCCCGCCACGGGCUCCAGGGGUAAUGAGUCGGGGAUGAGCUCCGAGGCCACGCGCAGCCAUUGUGUAGGGUCCCAUUAUAUACCCGGGUACGUGUGUGUGUGUGUGUCUGUGUGUGUGUG